CCCCCGCUGCACCUCCGCUGUGAGACAUGAAUAACAACUGAGAGCUCUUUGUCGAAGCCGCGCUGCAAACAAGCGAUAACGAUGUCAGAGUUUAAUUCCCACAUCACGGCUGAGAGAUUUAAACCGUCACGCAGAGUGUCCCUCCGGGCGACAGGUGAGGCUCUUGACCACACCAGAAACUCAAUUAUCCCUCUAACGCUCCUCUGUGGAGCUGGUGAGCUAGUGGUGGGCUCCUCUGUGGAGCUGGUGAGCUAGUGGUGGGCUCCUCUGUGGAGCUGUGGGACCAGUGGGGUUUAAGGAAGGCGUGAGCAGCAUAAUUUAUCCAGGACUGAGUCACACAAGCGUCCACAUCCACAGCUCUGACCCCUCUCGACCUGUGGAGCCAUGAGUCCACUAUUUUGGAUAUAUGAUAUGAACAUAUGAUGCACCUUGUUCCCUUUAAACACUCAGUUUGUUUUAUUUUUCCGUACCGAAAUUGCAGUGUGCUCACUUGUUUUGGUGAAAACAGGAGCGGUGGAAACUUUUGCUUUGGAAACAACUCGCUGACAGGAACUGAACGGAGAGUAGAGGAGGAUUCUUCUCACCCAGGAUGAGGCUGUUGUGGAAUAACUCAUGGGAUCUACCAUUACCGUGAAACAGGAUUUCUUGUUGUAAUGAUUCGGGGCUUGACAAAUUUGAAAUAGACAUGAAACUAUGUUUUAUUGAUGUGCAUAAUCUUUUGGUAGCACAGAUUUCAGUGAAAUAACACAAUUGAAAAUUCCUCCAAGAAAGAACGACACAUGUGAUAUAGAUAAAAUCUCUUUUCUUCUCAAAACACCGGGGAUAAAGAACCAUCACCGUCCAAAAGGAAAAACUGAAUCUGAAGUCGUCUUUUUAUAUAUUUACAUCACACGUUUUAUUAAUGUGUUUCAAUCUUAGUGUGUUUUAUUUGUUGGAGUCUCUCAGCAGCUCUCCCCUGACGCCAGCGUGUUUGUGUUCCGCUGCUGCAGCUUAAUGAGAUGCACACACACACACAAACACACACACACACACACACACACACACACACACACAGCUCUUCGUUGACAGAAACCAAACAGAGUUAUUUUAGUGCCAUUGUCCUGAGAAACAAACGGUGAGAAGAGCACCACAUGUUUCUGUCCGUUCAGGUUCACUCGCUCUGCAGCCGCCGGACCCGUCGCAGCUCACUGACACUGAAGGUGACGGAGAAACAAAGAACCAGACUGAACAGAAGCUCACAGCGAAUGUUCACAAGGAAUGAAACAAAUAAACUGUGAUGUUAUACUCAGGAAUGAUUUGAUAGAUAUGAGGGAAUCACAUUGAAUACAAUGUUCUUUUGAAGUAAUUUAAAAAUGGGAAAUUGUCUUGUCAUGUGAUGGUUUCUGUCAUUUUAAUGUGUUUCUGAUAAGUUUGGUCUUAAUUAGUUAUUUGGGUGAAACGUCUUGAUUGGCACCUGGGACUCACUCGUGAUUGGUCGAGCUUGUGCAUCGCCGGGACCGUGACUCUGUGGCUCCGCCCCCUGAUCACUACUUCACAGACUCCAAAUGACAUCACCACUACAAGUAAACCCCCCCGCUCGGAGUCGUCCAUGAUUCAAACGUGACAGGGAAGAAAAAGCUGCUUUCAGGCCUCGGAUCAGAGGAAACGUGUUCAGGCCGACAGACGUGAGACGUGAGGACAUGUGGAAGAGAGAC